GCGUGAUCUCAGCUCACUGCCACCUCUGUCUCCUGUGUUCAAGUGAUUCUCCUGCCUCAGCUUCCUGAGUAGCUAGGAUUACAGGUGCACGCCAGCUAAUUUUUGUAUUUUUUUUUAGUAGAGAUGGGGUUUUGCCAUGUUGCCCAGGCUGGUCUUGGACUCCUGGCCUCAAAUGAUCUGCCCGCCUCAGCCUCCCAAAGUGCUGGGAUUACAGGUGUGAGCCACCAUGCCUGGCCUCUGCCUCCAUCUUCACAUGGUAUUCUUCCCUGUCUGUGUCCAAAUUUCCCUCUUGUUAUAAGGAUACCACUCAUUGCGUUAGAACUCACCUUGAUCCAGUGUGACCUUUUCUUAAACUUUAUGUAUGCAAAGACUCUUUUUCCAAUUGAGGUCACAUUCAGAGGUAUUGGAGGUUAGGCUUUGAACCUAUCUUUUUGGGAGACUCAAUGCUAACCUCAGUAGCAUGGUAAAGUCCUAACACAGUACCCACACAUAGGUGGCCUUCAGUGAAUAAUAGUUUCCAUUGUUCUGCUGUUGUAGAGUGUUUGGCAGUGCCCACAUGGAACUUUCUAACUGAAUUCUGCGGUCUUUUCAGACCUUGGAGGCUAUCGUAUCAAUAAAACCAGAGCAUUUUCUGUUGUUUGGUAAGGCACAGCUUCUGUUUGCGGCAUGAUGCUCUUCUAGGGUGCGUAUAAGAGCCCCCAUGCAUCUCAAUUACAGAAUAUGUUAGGCGUCUGGAUUUUGUCUAACUUAGCCUAGUACUGUCGUGGGUUCCUUUGGGCAGUUUUGCCUUGCUUAACAAUGCAAACUAGAAACUGCACACAAAUGGUUACCCAAAAUGAGUCCUGUUAUUAUUGCUUCUUUUACCCCUGGGGCCCCAAACUGCAGAAGGCUUAUUCACUGCAAGACUCUAAAUGUCUUGCCUCCAUAUAUUACAUUCCGUAUUACGCUGGAACAUGGUGAAAUUAAUUGUGGCCAGGCAGGAAGACAGAAAAAAACCUGUAAUGGUUUAUCAUAUUUUGUAGGCUUUGUGAGGGCCAUAAAUUUAAGGCAUAUAGGAAUUGUGUUUAUUCCUUAGAUUUCACAAAUUUGUCAUGUUCCUUUUCUCCAAUGGUGACAGGUUCUUCCGACAACUGGGUCUCUGUUGUUGAAGUAGAAAAUAGAAAAGGGAGUGGGCAUGGGGAUGUUUCUAGUGUCACAGAUCACUGCAGAGCUCUCCCUCGCAAGCUUCUUUGGUUACAUGGCUGUUAAUAGCUAAAUUAUUAAUGCAGGUUUGCUGGUGGAGGGAGCUGCUUUUGACCAUUGCCUCUCUUCUUACAUCAGCUCUUCAAUAGCCACAAUUGUAGGAGUCACAUUGCAUGCAGAGCAGUUCACAAAUUGAAUGGUUGUUUGUGUGUGUGUGUGUGUGUGUAGCAGGGGAGGCUCAGAGUUUUGGCCUCUGGCUGUAUGGCUGUAUACUUGUGAGUAUCCUUUGUCUGAAACCUGAUGAUGCAGGAAUUUACAUCUUGGAAUGGGAGCUGGUUUAAACAAGGAAAUUUAUUCAUUACUGAAUUCUCCUGAGAGUUCAGCAGCUCCUGUGAGCAUGGAAGUGCCCCUGUCUCAAUCUUUUUGGAUAAUGAAGAUGCAUAUUCCAAAGGUUAGAUUUCUCUGAAAUGACUGUUUUUUCAAGAUAGUAGGGAAGCAGUAUUGGCCACAGAGAUCCAGGUGGCUGCAUGAACAAGAAUACAACCUUGAUUUUAUGGUCUUUACUUCCUUUUCCAAAGUCAAGGUCCAUGAGUUGAUUAAAAAUAUCACAAAGUGAUUUAACUAUUCCUCAGUAAUCUUGUAGCCUAUUGCCAUCAAACUUUGUUGACAGCGACUUAUGGAAACACAUUGGUAUGUCCACACACAAAUUUGUGCGCUAAUGGUUCAUAGCAGCAUUAUUCAUAAUAGCCUGAAAGUGGCAGCAACCCACAUGUUCACCAGUGGAUGAAUGGAUAAAUGAAAUGUAGUAUAUCUAUACAAUGGGAUAUUAUUCAGCCAUACAAAGGAACAAAGUUCUGAUACAUGCUACAGUAUGAAUGAACCUUGGAAAUAUUAUGCUAAAUGAGAAGAAGCCGGUUACAAAAGACCACAUAUUGUAUCAUUCAAUUUAUAGGAAAUGUCCAGAGUAGGCAAAUACGUGGAGAUAGAAAGUAGAUAGGUGGUUGCCUAGGGCUGAGUUGGGGUUUGGGAGGAAAUGGGGCAUGGCUGCUAAUGGGCAUGGGGUUUCCUUUUGGGGUGAUGAAAUGUUCUAAAAUUGAUUGUGGUGACGGUUGCACAACUCUGAAUAUACCAAAAGCCAUAGCGUUGUAUACUUUCAAUAGGUAAAUUGUAUAGUGUGUGAGUUUUAUCUCUUAGUCAUGCUGUUAAAGAUCACAUUUACAUUGCAAACAAGAACAUUUAUAUAAAGGUGAAUCAAAACACACUCUUCAUAUCUGAUAUAUUCUGAUUUAUUCCAGUCUUUUCCAUUUUAUUUCUUUAAAAGUGUCUGGACAUGAGCCAUGGUACUGAAUCCAUAAUCCACACUUUUAUGGAUUCCUUUCCAUUUUACAAAUUUAAAAAAUGGAGUUCCAGCACUUAAGAAGUGAGUACAGGUUUACACAAUUUAUAAAUGACUGAGUUGAGACUUCAGACUGGGUCUUUCUUCUGACUCCCAUUUCACUGUGCUAGCUAAGAGGUUGGGUAGUGUUUAAAAACAAUUUAAAAGAUUGAGCAAAUUUGGGGGUAAACAAAAAAGUACCAGCAAGGAAUAGCCUCCUUAUAAAUACCUUCACCUAUAGUCUGAAGUGCUUAGGGAAGCUGAGGGCACAGAGAAGGGCUGGCUGCACAUUUUUGCAUUGAGCAUAGUUUUCAGUGUCUGACACCCUGUGCAUUGCCCUGGCUGAGCGAGGAGGCUCCAUUUGUUUAUUUUUCAAGCAAAGAUGCUAUUUUCUCAGCACUGUAGAGUAAAAACAUUAGACAUUUCUAGCUGCCUGCCAAUUAGGGCUUGCUGGCUUCUAGCCCUUCCACUGAAAGUCAAAUUUGAGGUAGGGCAUCAUAGAAAAUGAAGAAAAGACAUACAAGUCAUUAGGGAGAAAAGAGGAACUGGUGUUCUCCUACAGCUCUGGAAUUGGUAUCAGAUAAUUGUGCCCUGACUGCGCAGUCCUGGCCAGAGAUACAAAAAAAAAAAAGAGAA